AUGGUGGAGAUCCCGGUGGUCGACCUGCGGCUCGCCGGCGCGCAGCCGGAGGAGUCGGCGCGGCUGCGGGACGCGUGCGAGCGCCUGGGCUGCUUCCGCGUGUACGGCCACGGCGUGCCCGCGGCGCUCCAGGUGGAGAUGAAGGCCGCCGUGCGCGCGCUCUUCGACCUCCCCGACGAAGCCAAGCGCCGCAACGCCGACAUCAUCGCCGGCAGCGGCUACGUCGCGCCCAGCCCCGCCAACCCGCUCUACGAGGCCUUCGGCCUCCUGGACGCCGCCGCCCCCGUCGACGUCGACGCCUUCUGCGCGCGCCUCGACGCGCCGCCCCGCGCCAGGGAGACCGUCAAGAGCUACGCCGAGGCGAUGCACGAGCUGAUCGUGGACGUCGCCGGCAAGGUGGCCGCGAGCCUGGGGCUGGAGGGCCACCCGUUCCAGGACUGGCCGUGCCAGUUCCGCAUCAACAGGUACAACUACACGCAGGACACCGUGGGGUCCUCGGGCGUGCAGAUCCACACGGACUCCGGCUUCCUCACCGUGCUCCAGGAGGACGACUGCGUCGGCGGCCUCGAGGUGCUGGACCCCGCCACCGGCGAGUUCGUCCGCGUCGACCCCGUCCCCGGCUCGUUCCUCGUCAACAUCGGCGACGUCGGCACGGCGUGGAGCAACGGGAGGCUGCACACCGUGAAGCACCGGGUGCAGUGCGUGGCGGCGGUGCCCCGCAUCUCGAUCGCCAUGUUCCUGCUCGCGCCCAAGGACGACAGGGUGUGCGCGCCGGAGGCGUUCGUCGACGCGCAGCACCCGCGCCGGUUCAAGGCGUUCAACUACGAUGACUACAGAAAGCUCCGGCUGUCCACCGGCGAGCGCGCUGGCGAGGCGCUCGCUCGAAUGGCUGCGUGA
rnacentral:rRNA from 1 species